CUUCCCUGUAGGUGUCAGCUCUAGAGAUGAGAAGAGUGAAUGAACUCCAGCAGAAGUGCUGUCAAAAGUUACACAUCUGCCCUGCGAAGGAUCAGCUAAGGAAUCCCUGCUUACCCUGCUUUACAAAGCUCAACGUCAGUAUUCAUGACUUAAAAGAACAGCCAGAAAUCAGUACAUAUUUUGCCUUCAAACUUCAAAUGAAACUAAAAAAAAGUUUUGAACUUCUGUUCUGCUGGCAAUCAACACAGCUGCAUAUUACUAUUUGGAGUGCAUGCGUUGUGAUUAAUUUAAGGAUGCUGAAUUUUCAUGGACAUAUACAAAGAAAGGAAUUCCAAAUUAUAGCGCCUCUGACAGAUUUCCUGGUUGCUUGAAAGAAAGACUGCACUGCUGUUGCUGAAUUCCUUAGAAAAUAUUAAAUAACUGUUACUUAUCUUAUUGUUCUAGAACAUCAAGAAAUAGAAAGACAGAUAUAUAAACGUUUUACAGUUUUAUUUUUUGUUUGUCACGUGUGAAACUGUGGAAAUAAUGACCCCAGAGGAACCAUACUUGCUGGAUCUUGAAGAGAAGAAACUCAGCCACUUAAAUAGUUCUUCCGAUGAACUUAGUAACUAUACUGCAGAAGAAAAAGAUUUCUGGACCUCACCUGGAUUUCUUUAUGCAAUCCCAACAAUGUAUGGCAUCAUCAUUUUAAUAGGGUUGACUGGCAACAUUACACUUAUCAAGAUUUUCUGUACAGUAAAGUCAAUGAGGAAUGUACCUAAUUUGUUCAUCUCUAGCUUGGCACUUGGAGACCUGCUACUUUUGGUGACCUGUGCCCCUGUUGAUGCCAGCAGGUAUCUGGCAGAUGAAUGGCUUUUUGGCAGGGUUGGCUGCAAACUGAUCCCUUUCAUCCAGCUGACAUCUGUAGGGGUGUCUGUCUUUACACUGACAGCUUUGUCUGCUGACAGGUACAAAGCCAUUGUUAGGCCGAUGGAUAUUCAGACGUCUAAUGCCCUGCUGAAGAUUUGUCUCAGAGCUGCGCUUAUCUGGAUUUUAUCUAUGCUACUUGCCGUUCCUGAAGCAGUCUUCUCAGACAUGCAUCCAUUCUAUGACAAAGGAACAAACAAAACAUUUUUUAGCUGUGCACCAUACCCACACUCUGAUGACCUGCAUCCAAAAAUCCACUCAAUGGCAUCUUUCUUGAUAUUUUACAUCAUUCCACUGUCAAUUAUUUCAGUGUAUUAUUAUUUUAUUGCUAAAAACUUGAUCAGGAGUGCUUAUAAUAUGCCAGUGGAAGCAAAUAUACAUGUCAGAAGGCAGAUUGAAUCACGUAAAAGACUUGCAAAAACGGUUUUGGUGUUUGUAGGUCUCUUUGCCAUCUGCUGGCUACCUAAUCACAUCAUCUACCUGUAUCGUUCCUACCACUAUUCUGAAGUGGAUACGUCUGUUUUGCACUUUAUCACCAGUAUCUUUGCUCGAUUAUUGGCCUUCACCAACUCCUGUGUGAAUCCUUUUGCUCUCUACCUUCUAAGCAAAAGCUUCCGGAAGCAGUUCAACAGCCAGCUGUUUUGCUGCAGGACUCAUCUCCUAAUGAGGUCGCAGAGCAUGGGUAGGAGCACUACACGAAUGACCUCACUCAAAAGUACCAAUCAUUCAGUAGCGAGCUUCAGUCUCAUCAAUGGCAACCACAUAUGUCAUGAAGGCUGUGUAUAGGGAGCAAAGAGCGACAAAAAGCUGAGGAAUUACAUUGACUUAUAAUUUAGGCAUCCAUUACCAUUGCUUAUGCCAAUCAUGUGUGAUCUAUCUGGGUCCAUGUACGUAGUAGAAACUGUGAAUCGAGAUGGCAAAGUCCUACCAAUACUCGACAAGCACAUUUGCCUCAAACUGAAAAAUGACUACAGUGUUUAGGAUGCCACAAACAAACAAAAAAAAUAACUCAUAAGAAAAAAAUGAGAAGAAAUUAAACUAUAAUUUCUGGAUAUUGAACUUCUUUUGCUACUGUCUGAAUUAAUGAAACAUCUUCAUCACUGCAUUCAUUGCAAAAGGGAGCUGCACAAAACAGUGCAGAUGUUUAUGUCCAAUGAACACAUACAGAUUUCAUUUUAAUCAUCAGAAAUGUCUUGUCCACGACAGUGGAGAAAAUUAUAUUUUAUGUCCGAUACUUCAGAUGCUGCAUCAUAUUUGGUUUAACAGCUCAUAUAAGCCUGGCCACAUGUAUUUUUCAGCCAUAUCUGUUUAUUUCCAUUAAUCAGAAUAAUUACAUGUGAACUGGUUUAGUUGUGAAGGCUAUUGCAAAUAAUUAAAAAAAAAUACAGAUUUUCACAAUGUUUCUUUAUUUUAUUAUGUUGCUGCAAUCUAGUUCCCUUCUACCAGAUAACCUGUGUGCAUAUUUGUUACUGAAAUCAAAUGUAUUACAGUGAGAAGUAAAGCUCUCUGACUACAUUAGAGACAGUGAUCUCAAUUUGUAUUCUGAAUCCACUGGCUGCAUCUGCUAUAUUCUAUUUCCUUAGUUGGUGCUACAGACUCAUGAUUUUUUUCAUUUCCUCUUGAAUAACAGUUUAUCCAAACCCCAGAAAAUUAAAAGAUGCUGAACUGUAUUGCUGAAUAGUCACAUAAAACAAACCUUAUGAGUACGGAGUUAUUAUUGAAUAAAACUUUAGUCUUGUACCUCACAAAGUUAUAUGGCCUGCAUUUUAUUUUCAGUAAUGUUGUGUACAAUCUUUACUAUAAUUGAUAUUUUUAAAUUUUUUACAGCUUGUGCACUGUGAUAGAAUGUUUAAGGCACCUUUAAAUGAUAAAAGUUUGGUUAUGUAUAUACAUAUGUUGUAUAUAAAAUAAAUCUUUAUUCUGUGAAA